rnacentral:rRNA from 1 species
UGAGUAACCUGCCCUUAACUCUGGGAUAAGCCUGGGAAACUGGGUCUAAUACCGGAUAUGACUCCUCAUCGCAUGGUGGGGGGUGGAAAGCUUUAUUGUGGUUUUGGAUGGACUCGCGGCCUAUCAGCUUGUUGGUGAGGUAAUGGCUCACCAAGGCGACGGACGGGUAGCCGGCCUGAGAGGGUGACCCGGCCACACGUGGGACUGAGACACGGCCCAGACCUCCCGUAACGGGGAGGCAGG